UGAGAAACACCCAAGAAUGAUCAAUAAAAAAAAAAAAAAUAAAAUAAAGUAGAAGGGUGGGGGAAAUGUGAUUAUUCCAAACCCGGCGUGUCUUUAUGAUUUUAUAUCCAACUGAUCAUUCAGGGAGGUUAUUAGGACAGUGGUUGAAACAGAAAUUUAGGAUAAUAUUCUAAGAAACAGAAAAAGCAGUCUUCUCAUUCUAACUGGCAAAACCAACAGAGAUAACAAAAAAAAAUUUUUUUUUUCCCCAGGAAGAGCGUGUGCAUUCAAACUUGUUCAUUCAUUAAUUUGAGUUGAAGGGAGGGGGACGUCCUUGGUGGAAAAGUUAAAGAAAGUGCUCUGGAUGAGAAAUUCACAGGGAGACAGAAAAGGCUCCAUGUCUGUCACCCCAUCAUAUUUCCACGCAUUUAUUAAGUGCUGGUUUGUGUGGCAUCCUUUGACAGGAGACAUAAGACAACAGCUCAGAGUGGAAGAAAUAGAUGUUCUCAGGAAGAGGCUGUAUGCUGUCCUGGUUUCGAGCAUCUGCCCUACAGUCAGAAUGCCUGCAUUUGAAAUAAGUUUCUGCCACGAACUAGCUGUAAGACCGUGGGUGAGUUAUUCAACCUUUCAGCACCUCAUCUCCUAAAAUGGGGAUAAUGUUUUCUUCCCCAAAGACUUGUGGGGAGGGACCAAAAAUUAAAUGGAUUAUUGAAUGUAAAGUGCUUAGACCAUUGGCCAACAGUUCGUCAGUGCCCUAUAACUGUUGCCUGUUUAGCAUGUCAUAAACACAUGACUCGCAUACAUUACAUUAAAAUAGAGCAGAGUAUUUAAGUCCAGGGAAAGGAAACUAUUAUCAGAUGACUGCUCUCUUCCAGGCACUGUAACACUAUUUUCUCAUGAUCCUCUCUUUAAUCUUUGCAAUAACUCACAAGGUAGGUUUUACCAGUUGCAGUUUCCUGAGGAGGAAACCAAAGCUGGGAAUUAUUUUAUCCUCAAAGUGGCAAUAAGUUGUUGGCCACAACCGGGAUAUUCCGCUUUUCUCCUCACAUUUAGAAAUGUCAUGUGGCUGUGAGUCACCUUGUGAGGAUCUUGUCACAUCCUUAGACUGUACUGCCAACACUGAAAAUGCACUGUGGCUGACCCGUUUAAGCAAAGCCAGGCUGCAAUUUUCCUGUGGAUUCCCAUUCCAGCAGUUAGGCUGGGCUCUCCUAUGAUUUUGCUACCACUGCGAUUUUGCUGUGUGGCUACUUUAGAGACUAGAGACUGCCUAAUGUGAGCAAUAGGUGAUCUAACGGACAAUCAUUAUUGGUUGACUCAGCAUCUAUCAGUUGACUAAAGUUGCCUUUAGU
rnacentral:lncRNA from 1 species